rnacentral:rRNA from 1 species
CCUACGGGUGGCAGCAGUGGGGAAUAUUGGACAAUGGGGGGAACCCUGAUCCAGCCAUGCCGCGUGUGUGAAGAAGGCCCUCGGGUUGUAAAGCACUUUCAGUGAGGAAGAACGCCUGGUGGUUAAUAUCCAUCAGGAAAGACAUCACUCACAGAAGAAGCACCGGCUAACUCCGUGCCAGCAGCCGCGGUAAUACGGAGGGUGCGAGCGUUAAUCGGAAUUACUGGGCGUAAAGCGCGCGUAGGUGGCUUGAUAAGCCGGUUGUGAAAGCCCCGGGCUCAACCUGGGAACGGCAUCCGGAACUGUCAAGCUAGAGUGCAGGAGAGGAAGGUAGAAUUCCCGGUGUAGCGGUGAAAUGCGUAGAGAUCGGGAGGAAUACCAGUGGCGAAGGCGGCCUUCUGGACUGACACUGACACUGAGGUGCGAAAGCGUGGGUAGCAAACAGGAUUAGAUACCCGAGUAGUC